CUUUAAAACCCGGAUAACUGUUUUUCCUACUCUAUCUCCUCCCUCUACAUGUAAAAGGCACAAAGCAACAGAAAUCGACGCUACAACACCACACCGUUGCCUAUAUCCCCUCCUCCUCUCGCUCUAUCUCGGAUGAAAAGAAGAUUGUAUGGAGGCACUGUGUUGACCAGAAGACCGCCAUUACCGCUGGGAUCCAGGGAACAAAUUUUGAGUUUGCAUAAGAAAAGUCUGUGUUCAACAUAGCACUGCUGUGGUGUUCCCAUUCUUCCCCCCACUAGUGGGCUUGAUUCAUUUUGGGAUCCAUUGCCUUGCACUGUCAUCUGCGUCGGACCAUUUCUGACAGAAGGUGUCUCAGG